UAAUCACCAUGGAUGUUGAUUAGAAAUUAUCUUCCUAGUACCUUUGAUGAGGGCUUCUGAGGCAGGAAAUGCCCAUCUAUAACAAGUAAUGAAAUCCACCUUCCAUUGCAGAAAUGAGGGAGAGUAACUAGUUAAAGGAACCAUGAAGGAAAAGGACCCCCGUAUCCCAGACACAUCCCAGAGUCAAUAAGCAUCUGACAUUUAGAAAACAAGCACUCCACAGAGAAGAAACUGCCAGGAGGAGGAGGGAAGAAAGAUUUAUUCACCUCGGGGUGCAUGUUAAGUUCAGUUUUGGUGUUGUGUUUGGACUCAUCUAUGUCUCUGUCUCCAUGUACUGGUUUGGCUUUCUCAGGAGAAUCUUUGCCCUGUUAACUUCUGGUUCUUUGGUCUGUCUGUCUGAAGAGGAAAUCCAGCUACUGCUUGAGCCAAUGAUUCUGAACCUCGGCUCCCACAAAAGCAUACUGAUACUCCUUGCCAGGUCUGCUAACAUUAAUUCAAAACGUAAGUCGUAAUGUGUAAUGGGGACACAAUUCUGAAAACAAUUUCAUCUGGAAGUUUUGUCACUGGUUGAAGAUUGCCUGAAAGGAAUGCAGUUCUUCCAAGACUUUCUAGGGACCUCAGAGUCCUUGGCUUCAGUCAGACCACCAGCAAGCUCCUGUUUGAAGGACUGUGGUCUGCUCCCAUACAUGAGUUCUUCCAGGGCUCUCUUUUAAUGAAAUAAGAAACUGCUCUGGGAAUAGCAUUAAGGUAUUUACCGUGGAGAAGAUAUUCGCAAUGCAGUUUCCUUGAUGUUGUUAAUUUAUAUUGGUUUUGUACUUACUGAUUAGGUUACUUUAGCUUAGUGAUCUUCUGAAUUGUGUGAUCCAUUUUCUUUUACUCUUGCUGAUUAAUAGAAAACACAGAGUUAAAAUCACGGCCCAAUUCCAACAAGCACACAGCAGCUCUUGGCAAGCAAGUUAUGACUCCCUGUUUAUUUUCUUUUUCUCA
rnacentral:lncRNA from 1 species